UUUCCGUAGGUGAACCUGCGGAAGGAUCAUUACCACGAAAGUGGAGCGGAGCUCCGAGCGCAAGCGAGGAGCGAGGCCCCCUUAAACCCCAUUCCGCUGGCUGCUAACACAGCCAGCAGCGAACACGACACGUACCCCCACAAGCGCUCCCAGCUGAGUCGGCGGGCCCAACCCUACACAGGGCGGGCCCGCGGCUGGUUACACACGCAGCGCUUUAUACAAGCACCUCCCCACACAAUCACACACACCCCAAUCAAACCACACGCCUCGGCUAAGCAAAUGCACGUGGAUUCGUCCCUGUGCGUACCAAAAACGCUUACAACUUUCAGCAACGGAUAUCUUGGCUCUU
rnacentral:misc_RNA from 1 species